GAUGAACGCUGGCGGCGUGCCUAAUACAUGCAAGUCGAACGCUUUGUCUUUAAUUGAUAUGAAGAGCUUGCUCUGAAUUGAUUUUAUCUGACAAAGAGUGGCGAACGGGUGAGUAACACGUGGGUAACCUACCUCUUAGCAGGGGAUAACAUUUGGAAACAAGUGCUAAUACCGUAUAAUACCAACAACCGCAUGGUUGUUGGUUGAAAGAUGGUUCUGCUAUCACUAAGAGAUGGACCCGCGGUGCAUUAGCUAGUUGGUAAGGUAACGGCUUACCAAGGCAAUGAAUGCAUAGCCGAGUUGAGAGACUUGAUCGGCCACAAUGGGACUGAGACACGGCCCAAUACUCCUACGGGAGGCAGCAGUAGGGAAUCUUCCACAAUGGGCGCAAGCCUGAUGGAGCAACGCCGCGUGUGUGAUGAAGGGUUUCGGCUCGUAAAACACUGUUAUAAGAGAAGAACGGCACUGAGAGUAACUGUUCAGUGUGUGACGGUAUCUUACCAGAAAGGAACGGCUAAAUACGUGCCAGCAGCCGCGGUAAUACGUAUGUUCCAAGCGUUAUCCGGAUUUAUUGGGCGUAAAGCGAGCGCAGACGGUUAUUUAAGUCUGAAGUGAAAGCCCUCAGCUCAACUGAGGAAUGGCUUUGGAAACUGGAUGACUUGAGUGCAGUAGAGGAAAGUGGAACUCCAUGUGUAGCGGUGAAAUGCGUAGAUAUAUGGAAGAACACCAGUGGCGAAGGCGGCUUUCUGGACUGUAACUGACGUUGAGGCUCGAAAGUGUGGGUAGCAAACAGGAUUAGAUACCCUGGUAGUCCACACCGUAAACGAUGAGUGCUAGAUGUUCGAGGGUUUCCGCCCUUGAGUGUCGCAGCUAACGCAUUAAGCACUCCGCCUGGGGAGUACGACCGCAAGGUUGAAACUCAAAGGAAUUGACGGGGACCCGCACAAGCGGUGGAGCAUGUGGUUUAAUUCGAAGCAACGCGAAGAACCUUACCAGGUCUUGACAUCCCUUGCUAAUCCUAGAAAUAGGACGUUCCCUUCGGGGACAAGGUGACAGGUGGUGCAUUGGUUGUCGUCAGCUCGUGUCGUGAGAUGUUGGGUUAAGUCCCGCAACGAGCGCAACCCUUAUUAUUAGUUGCCAGCAUUUAGUUGGGCACUCUAGUGAGACUGCCGGUGACAAACCGGAGGAAGGUGGGGAUGACGUCAAAUCAUCAUGCCCCUUAUGACCUGGGCUACACACGUGCUACAAUGGCAUAUACAACGAGUCGCCAACCCGCGAGGGUGCGCUAAUCUCUUAAAGUAUGUCUCAGUUCGGAUUGUAGGCUGCAACUCGCCUACAUGAAGUCGGAAUCGCUAGUAAUCGCGGAUCAGCACGCCGCGGUGAAUACGUUCCCGGGUCUUGUACACACCGCCCGUCACACCAUGAGAGUUUGUAACACCCAAAGCCGGUGGGGUAACCUUUUAGGAGCCAGCCGUCUAAGGUGGGACAGAUGAUUAGGGUG
rnacentral:rRNA from 1 species